rnacentral:rRNA from 1 species
UACGGGGGGGGCAAGCGUUGUUCGGAAUUACUGGGCGUAAAGGGCUCGUAGGCGGCCAACUAAGUCGGAUGUGAAAUCCCCAGGCUUAACCUGGGAACUGCAUCCGAUACUGGAUGGCUUGAAUCCGGGAGAGGGAUGCAGAAUUCCAGGUGUAGCGGUGAAAUGCGUAGAUAUCUGGAGGAAUACCGGUGGCGAAGGCGGCAUCCUGGACCGGCAUUGACGCUGAGGCGCGAAAGCGUGGGGAGCAAACAGG